rnacentral:rRNA from 1 species
GAUGAACGCUGGCGGCGUGCCUAAUACAUGCAAGUCGAGCGAACGGACGAGAAGCUUGCUUCUCUGAUGUUAGCGGCGGACGGGUGAGUAACACGUGGAUAACCUACCUAUAAGACUGGGAUAACUUCGGGAAACCGGAGCUAAUACCGGAUAAUAUUUUGAACCACAUGGUUCAAAAGUGAAAGACGGUCUUGCUGUCACUUAUAGAUGGAUCCGCGCGGCAUUAGCUAGUUGGUAAGGUAACGGGUUACGAAGGCAACGAUGCAUAGCCGACCUGAGAGGGUGAUCGGCCACACUGGAACUGAGACACGGGCCAGACUCCUACGGGAGGCAGCAGUAGGGAAUCUUCCGCAAUGGGCGAAAGCCUGACGGAGCAACGCCGCGUGAGUGAUGAAGGUCUUCGGAUCGUAAAACUCUGUUAUGAGGGAAGAACAUAUGUGUAAGUAACUGUGCACAUCUUGACGGUACCUAAUCAGAAAGCCACGGCUAACUACGUG